rnacentral:tRNA from 1 species
ACUUAAAUAAUUUAAAUAGGGUAAAAUAUUGAUUUGUGGAGUCAAAUAUAUGAGAAGUUCAUCAUUUUAAGUU